ACGAGUUAGGGUCUUCUAGGCCCGACCUCCCAACCCUUUGUUUACUGAACCCCCGUUGCUUCGGCGGACCCGUCUCACGACCGCCGGAGGAUUGACCGCGAGGUCGUCCUCUGGCCAGCGUCCGCCGACAGCCAUCCAUUAUUGGAAAAACUCUGAAUGAAUCAUGUCUUCAAUUGUCUGAGUCAAUCAUUAAAUUGAACGCA
rnacentral:misc_RNA from 1 species